rnacentral:rRNA from 1 species
UACGGAGGGAGCUAGCGUUGUUCGGAAUUACUGGGCGUAAAGCGCGUGUAGGCGGCUCGGAAAGUCGGGUGUGAAAGCCCUGGGCUCAACCCAGGAAGUGCACUCGAAACUCCCGAGCUGGAGUCCCGGAGAGGAAAGUGGAAUUCUCGGUGUAGAGGUGAAAUUCGUAGAUAUCGAGAGGAACAUCUGUGGCGAAGGCGGCUUUCUGGACGGUGACUGACGCUGAGACGCGAAAGCGUGGGGAGCAAACAGG